ensembl:rRNA 5S_rRNA 5S ribosomal RNA
GCCAGAGCCAUAUCUCUCUGCAGUCCAUGCCUGGUUUCGCACUGAAGCUAAGCCAGGUUGAGCCUGGCCAGUACCUGGAUGGGAGACCUCCUGGGGAAAACUAAGGUUGCUGCUGGAA